GAUACAGGGUUUGCUGGCUUUAGUUCCAGCCCAGCACUAACACACCUUAUUCAACCACUCCAGGGCUCGAGGAUUAGUAGAUUAGUUGAUGGAUGUGUUAGUGCAGGGUUAAAACAAACAUGUGGGCUACCAAGUGGUGCAGCGGUCUAAGGCACUGCAUCGCAGUGUUUGAGGUGUCAUUACAGACACCCGGGAUCAAAUCCAGGCUGUAUCACAACCGGCCGUGUUUGGGAUUCCCAUAGGGCGGCGCACAGUUGGCCCAGCAUUAUCUGGGUUUUGCCCGGUGUAGGCCAUCAUUAUAAAUAAGAAUUUGUUCUUAACUGACUUGCCUCGUUAAAUAAAGGUUAAAUGAAUUCUAAUUAUAUUAUAUAUAUUUUUGAAACUCUGUGGUGGUCCCCCAGGAGAGGUUUGAGACACAGUGGUCUAAUGUGAUGGGUCGUAUUCACUAGGGACAACCCAGGAGAGGUUUGAGACACAGUGGUCUAAUGUGAUUGGUCGUAUUCACUAGUGACAACCCAGGAGAGGUUUGAGACACAGUGGUCUAAUGUGAUGGGUCGUAUUCACUAGGGACAACCCAGGAGAGGUUUGAGACACAGUGGUCUAAUGUGAUUGGUCGUAUUCACUAGUGACAACCCAGGAGAGGUUUGAGACACAGUGGUCUAAUGUGAUGGGUCGUAUUCACUAGGGACAACCCAGGAGAGGUUUGAGACACAGUGGUCUAAUGUGAUUGGUCGUAUUCACUAGUGACAACCCAGGAGAGGUUUGAGACACAGUGGUCUAAUGUGAUGGGUCGUAUUCACUAGGGACAACCCAGGAGAGGUUUGAGACACAGUGGUCUAAUGUGAUGGGUCGUAUUCACUAGGGACAACCCAGGAGAGGUUUGAGACACAGUGGUCUAAUGUGAUGGGUCGUAUUCACUAGGGACAACCCAGGAGAGGUUUGAGACACAGUGGUCUAAUGUGAUGGGUCGUAUUCACUAGGGACAACCCAGGAGAGGUUUGAGACACAGUGGUCUAAUGUGAUGGGUCGUAUUCACUAGGGACAACCCAGGAGAGGUUUGAGACACAGUGGUCUAAUGUGAUGGGUCGUAUUCACUAGGGACAACCCUGGAGAGGUUUGAGACACAGUGGUCUAAUGUGAAGGGUCGUAUUCACUAGGGACAACCCAGGAGAGGUUUGAGACACAGUGGUCUAAUGUGAUGGGUCGUAUUCACUAGGGACAACCCUGGAGAGGUUUGAGACACAGUGGUCUAAUGUGAUGGGUCGUAUUCACUAGGGACAACCCAGGAGAGGUUUGAGACACAGUGGUCUAAUGUGAUUGGUCGUAUUCACUAGGGACAACCCAGGAGAGGUUUGAGACACAGUGGUCUAAUGUGAUGGGUCGUAUUCACUAGGGACAACCCAGGAGAGGUUUGAGACACAGUGGUCUAAUGUGAUUGGUUGUAUUCACUAGCGACAACCCAGGAGAGGUUUGAGACACAGUGGUCUAAUGUGAUUGGUCGUAUUCACUAGGGACAACCCAGGAGAGGUUUGAAACACAGUGGUCUAAUGUGAUGGGUCGUAUUCACUAGGGACAACCCAGGAGAGGUUUGAGACACAGUGGUCUAAUGUGAUGGGUUGUAUUCACUAGGGACAACCCAGGAGAGGUUUGAGACACAGUGGUCUAAUGU